GAUGAAUGCUGGCGGCGUGCCUAAUACAUGCAAGUCGAGCGGCAGCGCGUCUAGUUUACUAGAUGGCGGCGAGCGGCGGACGGCUGAGUAACGCGUAGGAAUGUGCCCCAAAGUGAGGAAUAACUGCCCGAAAGGGUAGCUAAUGCCGCAUAUGGUCUUCGGAUUAAAGGAUUUAUCCGCUUUGGGAGCAGCCUGCGUACGAUUAGAUAGUUGGUGAGGUAAUGGCUCACCAAGUCGACGAUCGUUAGCUGGUCUGAGAGGAUGAUCAGCCAGACUGGAACUGAGACACGGUCCAGACUCCUACGGGAGGCAGCAGUAAGGAAUCUUCCACAAUGGGCGAAAGCCUGAUGGAGCAACGCCGCGUGCAGGAUGAAGGCCUUCGGGUUGUAAACGUGCUUUAUGAGUGAAGAAUAUGACGGUAAUCAUGAAUAGCACCGGCUAAACUACGUGCCAGCAGCCGCGGUAA
rnacentral:rRNA from 1 species